GCUGUACUUUAUUAAUCUUUUCCAAAACAUGUAAAUAAUGAAGUCUGUUGCACACCACAUCUGGAAUUCAUGACUAUACUGUAAGAUUUAUACAGUAGAUGGCCCUUCAUGUAUGGAGGUAGUAUGUACACCAGAAUGUGCCUUUUCUUUUUAAGAUUUCAAACAAUGGAAAAAGCCACUAAGUAUUUAUAGUGUCUGUGUGCUAGGGACACGGGGAAGCCCAGCACGUGUGCGUGGAAGGCACCGGAACCUCAUCCAGCUGAGUAACAAUUGUGGCUGGUGCAGAGCCAUACAGGAGGCUCCGGCCGAGCCCAGAGUAGCUGCGUUUCUUCGCUGCCAGCCUCUCAAGUGAUGACACCAAGGCAUGAUCUUAUCUUGACUGUGGCCACCGGUGAAGAAAAGCAUAUCUCUAAUCUCAGAAGCACAAGCAGUUCAUACCAGGAAACCAAGAUUAGAGCAUCAUGCUAUCAUCUUUCAAAAUUACCACACAGGAUCAGCAGAACCCUGGACACAGAUGGAGUGGGCCCCACAUCCUUCACUGCUUCCCAUGAAGGAUUUCCAGGAUGGGGGCCCUCUUUGCCGUCUCCUCCCUUUAUGGCGAAUAUGGGUGGGGGAUGGAGCUGGGCAUGCCCCUAUCAGCCCCUCCCUUGCUCUUCUUUCUUUAGAUCUUGGUGUAGUGAGAGGGCUUUUUCUUCCUGUUUUUUUGGAGGGGGGAUCUACGUGGAGCUGUUCAAUGCUGCCUGUGAGUGGGUAUCAGCUUGCUUAGCUCAAGAGUGAAAUAGAAGCCAGCUCACAAGGCCCAGCAGUACAUCCCUUUCUCCUGAGUUCUUCCCAGUAUGAAUCUGGUACUUGCAUUUCUUUCUGACUCCUCACUAUAUCUGCCAAAUAGUUCCAAACUUGAGUAGGGAGAGACGAUCAUCUCCCAUCAAAUGUACAUUAUUCAUGCAUGGUAAUGGCCUGAAAGAACCUGAGACACAUGGGCUCAUGCUGAUAGGUGCACCUUCUAAGCAGUAGUCAUCUUUUAGCAUUUAUUGGAAGAGGCUAGCCCCAGCUCUGGCAAAGGGCUGAGCAGCUCACAUGUUCUCAGUAUCACAAAAUGAAAGCAUUCAACAGGCCCACUCCCCUCCUUCGUGGAAGGCAAUCUGAGGACCUUCUGUUGAUGUUGCAACAUGUGGCUGGUGGCAGGAUCUCAGUCCUUCCAGAAGGGGUGUGGGAAGACUUCCUCCACCUGGUGUAUAUAUUCUCCCUAAGCAGAUCUGGCAAAUGCAAAUUUAUCCAUAGCUUUUCAUCACCAAUGAAGUUUUCGUAUCUACAUUCCCUCCUGAAGACAGAAAACUUGUCUUUGUAACCCUUUUUAUUUCAGCUGAUCUACAUAAUUAGUUCAGAUUUACCCUAACAAAUGGCUUUUACCAUUUUUCAUUUCUCACCCUAUCACAAGACACUGCCAUCAAGUUUAGAUUAUGAAAAUGGCUGAAGGCAAGGGGGCCAUAUGAGAAAGUGCAAUCGAAACAUGGUCCUUCUUGCCCAAGAGAAGUUGACGUUUUUGGCUCAGAGAAUUAAAGCACAACGACUAUUCCUGAGAAUCAGUACGGUAGUCAUAAGAAAACUUUUUCUUGGUGGGCAUAGUGUUGCAGGCCUGUCAUGUCAGCACUUUGGGAGGUUGAGGCGGGAGGAUCACUUCAGCCCACAUCUUGAGACCAGCCUAGGCAACAUAGUGAAACCUCAUCCGCGCUAAAAAUAAAAAUUAAAAAAUUAGCCAGGUGUGGUGGUGCGAAAUCUGUAGUCCCAGCUACUUGCUUGAGCCAGGAGAACAAGGCUGCAGUGAGCCACAACUGUGCCACUGCACUCCAGACUGGGUGACAGAACAAGAUCCUAUCUCAAAAUGAAGCAAAAUAAAACAACUUUUUAUUUCUAAAAUGGAACUACUAAUUAUAACUGCAGACAUUUCUAUACAAUAUUUCUUUUUAAUCUCUUUUGAAAUUAAGUCCUUUUUUUAAAGUGGUAAGAAUACACAUAAUUAGUGCAUAAGAAUACAAAAGUGGUAAGAAUAAAAAAAAAAAACCCCUCCAAACCCUAUUGAUUUCCAACCUCAGCUCACAACUGACACCUUAUGCGAAAGUUAACUAAUAUCAGUCUUCAGCAGGUCAGAGAUGGUGGCUAAUGCCUGUAAUUCCAGCACUUUGGGACUCUGAAGGGGGAGGAUCACUUGAGCCCAGAAGGUUGAGAUCAGCGUGGGCAAUAAAGUAAGACCCUGUCUCUACAGAACACUAAAAAAUUAGCCGGCAUGUUGACGCACACCUGUAGUCCCACCUACUCGGGAGGCUGAGAUGGAGCAUCGACUGAACCCGGGAGCUUAUGAUCUUGUGGCCACUACACUCCAGCCUGGGGGACAGAGCAAGACCCCAUCUCUAAAAAUAAAUACAUAAAAAUAAAACCUUCAACAUAAAUGUGAAUCUAAAACUAUAAAAUUUCAAGAAGGAAUCAGAAGAAAAUCUUUGUGACCACAGGUUAAAGAUUUCUUAGCUAAGACAACGAAAGGAUGAUCUGUAAGAGGAAAAAAAAAAAAAAAGGAUGAAUUGGGACUUCAUCAGAAUUAAAAACAUCUGCUCUUCAAAAUGCCAGAAAUACAAAGAGAACACUGAAAAGUAUAUUUUCAUCUCAUACGUUUUCUUCCCAGUCCAAUUUCCCACUCCAGCAUCAACCAAAUCCUGCUACCAUUUCUCAGGUUCCCUCCUAAGCUACUCUGCGUAUCAUAAGCAUAGAGAUAUCUACUCUAUGGUGGUUCUAGUGCUUUUUUACUAAGAUUUUUUUAAACACAAAACUUCCAUACUCAAUACACUUAUUCAGUGUAGUCCCACACUCUCGAUAGCAUUCACUAGUCAUGCAUGUAGCUGAGGCCAAAUUCUGUGGAAGUCAUUCGUUUUGAGGUUUACUUAAGCAAAUAAGAAAACAAAACAUUAAAAUUUUAAUUUGUUUGCCUUGGUUAAAACAGAAAAUAUUUCCUAGGUUAUCAGCUCACUGUGUAUGAUUUAGGCCAUAUUUCAUAUUUUAGCUGUGUCAGCUGUGGUAUCCUGAGCGAAAGAAGUCAUCUGAGGCCUUACACCAAAAUAUUAUUUGAAGCACACAGAAACCAGCUUCUUCCAUUUCUCUGGGUAUUGUGUUUUAAAUAAUGAAAUCCUCUCUUAAAAAUGAGGAUCUCUAGUCAUGCUGAGGACUGGAGGAAGCAUUUUCUUCAGGCUGAAUUUUCUGUUUGUUCGCUUGUUUUUGAGGCUCUGUCGCCCAGGCUGGAGUGCAGUGGCGUGGUCUUGCUUGCUGCGACCUCCACCUCCUGGGUUCAAGCAAUUCUUGUGCCUCAGGCUCUCAAGUAGCUGAGAUUACAGAUGUGUGCCACCAGGCCUGGAUAACUUUUGUAUUUUAGCAGAGAUGUGGUUUCACCAAGUUGGCCAGGCUGGCCUCAAACUCCUGACAUCAAGUGAUCCGCCCACCUCAGCCUCCCAGAGUGUGGGAUUACAGGCGUGAGCCACUGUACCUGACUCUGAGGCUGAAAGAAAAUCACAUUCCACAACACAGCUCACUUCCCAGAAGAUUCACUCAACUGUCGGAGUGAGCAAGAAGAGCACUUCCUUCUCUCUCUUGUUAUCCUGUUUUAUUUACUCACAGCAUUUAUUACUGAAAUGACUACAUUGAUGUAUUUCAGACUUUCUGCCUGAAUGCCCAGCCCUCCACCCCAACUCCUGCCCUGGGAAUCAGAGGGGUUUUCUGUUCAGCUGUGCAUGGCUGUGGUUGAGGAUCUGGUAUCAACAGACCCUUCUCCACUGACUGAACCUCAUUUCUAUCACUGGGAUUGGCCCUUUUACUGCUAUCUGGUUUGUAAAUUCAGCAGCCAUUUUCAGAUGUGAAAAGGUAAGAGAUGAGCAUUUGGAGUGAUUACCAUCAAUUCCACAGUACUGGUUCUGAGUACUCCACAUCCCCCAGACCUGCACUGUCCCACUAUGGUAGCCGUUAGCUACAUGUAGCGAUUAAGUGCUUCAACAGUGGUUAGUCGGAACUGAGAUGUGCUGUGUCAAGUAGAUAGCAGAUUUUAAAAAUCCAGUUUAAAGGACUGGAAAAUGAUCAUGACUAAUUUUUGUAUUUACAUGUUAAAAUAAUAUUUUGAAUAGAUUAGGUUAAAUAACAUGUACUAUUACAAUUUCCUUUUCCUUUUUAAUGUGACUACUAGAAAACUGAAACUGCGUAUGGGGUCUGCAUUGAUAUUGUGGUUCACAUCCUAUUUCUACUGCACAGCUCUCCUUGAGGCCUAGUCUACAAGUUCCCUCACUUCUCACGAGGGUUACUGUCUGUCUGCCCUACGAGGGGUUCGCCAGAUGCUCUGCUGAAGAGGAAUCAUACCACAGAGCCUCAGAAUCUGAGGACUUGCUUUCUGAGGCUCAGUAUUUGGGGCAGUAGUGAUAGAUUUUUCCACGUAAUGGCAAAAAGUUGUCUCCCAAUUUUUUACAAGCUUCCCACUUGCUGACCUCUCAAGUAAUAUUAGAAAUGAUUCUAAGAGUGCCUUUCUCAAACUGUUCCAGUUACCUAAGACAUUCACACAUGUCAGCAUGUCUGGGGCACCAUCGGUGCUAUCCAUCGACCUAGGAGAGCACUGUCUCCAGCACAGCCUCCUCCUUCAGGCAGUCAGAGGAGACUCGUUUCCAUAGAGAUGUUCAUCCUAUUCAGAUCAACUACAAGACCACGGCUGUCUGGGAGUUAGCCCGCCUGCUGCAGUGAGAAUGGGUAACAGCCAGUCAUGGGGAGGAAGUGUCCACUCUGAAGACUUAGGUGAAGGGCAGAAGAUGGCAGGCUUUCCAUGGAAAGGGUCUCAUUCUGUUGCCCUGGCUGGAGUGUGGUGGUGCAAUCACGGCUCCCUGCAGCCUCGACCUCCCAGGCCCAAGUAGCUGGGACUACAGGUCACUUAAUUUCUGGGGGUAUGGAGGAGAGAGAUAUUCUGGAGACGGAGAAAAUAAAAGCAAGCCAGACUGUGGGUCCACCGGCUCCGAGGCCAAGAUCAACGCUGGUGUACCUGGCAGUGAAGUCGGCCAGAGCAUUCUAGAGAUCACCUUUAAAAUGUAUCCCUCUUCUCCUACUGAAGUUGACAGAAAUCUGAUCUGGCUUCUUCGAAAGCAAACAACAAAACAUCCCAACACGCAACAUAACCCUGAGUCUUUAAAAGAAACCUGGUGCUUGCACCAGGGGCGUGCAGAGGUCUGGAACCCAUUACGGUCAAUUCUCUAAGGGGCAGCUUAUCUCUUCCUCUGAUGCUAUCAGUUUGCCAAAGAAAGUUAAAGACAAAAGUCAACUGCUGCACCCUGUUGGAAUGUGACCAUGUGCAGAACUUGAAAUACACGAAGACUAAUUUAUGUCCCGAGGGGAGUGGCUCUCAUGGGAAAGUUCAUUUGUGUCUGCAAUGAACUUCGAAGCUAAUCAUACUACAAAACUGUACAGAAUGAGCAUCUUGGUGCUCGCUUCGGCAGCACAUACACAAAAACUAGAACGAUACAGAGAAGAUUAGCACGGCCCCUGCGCAAGCAUGACACACAAAUGCGUGAAGCUUCCAUAUUUUUUUUUAAAAAAAGAAUGAGUAUCUUUAAAUUAUUUCUGAAAUGAGAGCUCCAAGUAGCCUUUGAGAUUGGUAAACUUUAGAAAUAAAGUAUACUCACAAAGCGGCAUCUCCUUACUCUGCACAAGACUGAUUUAGGAUCAUUAUUCGGUAUCUAAGCCUUUCCUUUCAACUGUUUAAGACAUAGAAUGCUAGUGCAUUCUACAUUUAAAGUUUGAAUUCUACCAGUUUUGGAGCUCAGAACUCAAAUUCGCAGAGUUCUAAGUCUGACAAUUAUCCUCUUUUUGCUUUUAACAGUGAUUCACUUUCUACACUGAGUGUAACUACAUUUUCCUUGAAUUAUUUUUCUCAUUAGUGGUGGUGUGAGAAGCCUUCUUUUAGGAGGAAAACACACACACACACACACACACACACACACACACACAGAGGGGGCGGGGAGAGAGAGGGAGAGAGAGAGAGAAAACCACCAAGUCAUCUGUAUCUAAGAUGUCCAGUGUAUCUGGCACACUCUGGGCUGACAGGCAGUAAACAAGGCUCUUGCUAGGCCUGGUUUUCAGUCACUGACAACAAAGAUCGGUACCUUCAAUCUCUGAAUUACACGUUUAUAGCUUUUCUUUUUAGUCUUAGAACCCGUCAAGGACAGGCUCUAAGACAAAGCAAAGCUGCUGGCUCCCAUCUGCUGAAUAAGCAGUGGAGUUCUUUUGUUCACUUUCACUUUGCCCAGGGGUGGGAUGGGAUGGGGAGGGGGUGGGAUGGAGGUGGGAAGGGACAGGGUCGGGGAGCGGUGGGGCUGGGGUAGGCCUGCGGGAGGCAGCUUACUCAGUCCUCAGCCACCACCUGAGGGCCACUCUCCAGGAACUUACUCCCCUCUGGGCUCAGUUUUCUUAGAAGUCAAAUGAGUAGAUUAGGCUAAAUUCUGGCUCUAAAAUGGAGUAACCAUUACAGGAAGUGAAAAGUAAUUCUUCUGAUUAAUACUGAUCGGGAAAUAGGAGGGUGCCAGAAGUAGUUCUACUGCUAAUCAGCUCUCUCUGAACAUGCCUGGGACUUGCUUUCUUCCUAUGUUUUCUUUUUACAAAAAGAAUAUUCAUUAUGAGAAAUUAAAGUGUCAGAAAGUAAAACUAAAAGAGUAUAACUGGAUUGUUUGUAACACAAAGGGUAAGUGCUUGAGGUAGUGGAUAUCCCAUUUACCCUGAUGUGAUUAUUACACAUUGCAUGUCUGUAUCCAAAUAGCUCAUGUACCAUAAAUAUACACACUUAUGUACCCACAAAAAUUAAAGUUAAAUAUUUAAAAAAAUGAAGUGAAAGUAGUAGGAUAAUAAAGUAAAGGAUUUCCCCCAUAACCACCAAUCCUCAUACAAUUCCACUCCACAGAGCAAAACACUGAUAGUAUUUCGGUGCUAUCUUUCUAGAACACUUACUCUACAAAUAUAAAUAAUUAUAACACUCAUAUGUUUACACGUUUGGGUUGUCUGUUCACAAAAGUUGGAUCAAGUGUAUGCACAUUCUCCUCAGUAAUCUUUUGUCUUUCAACGACAUGCCAUGGGCAUCCUUCCGUGUUGGUACAUGAAGAUUUAUUUCAUGCUUUUGAAUGGCCUCAUAGUACAGACAAACAGUUCUUUAUUGAGAGACAUGUUCUCUUCAAGUACUCAUUAGUGCAAACAGUGUAGCAAUAAAGCUUCCUGUACAAC